GCUCGCGUAGCUCAGGGGUAGAGCGCAUCCUUGGUAAGGAUGAGGUCGGGGGUUCAAUUCCCCCUGCGAGCUCCA
rnacentral:tRNA from 1 species